UACACAUGCAGUCGAACGGCAGCGCGGGGCAACCUGGCGGCGAGUGGCGAACGGGUGAGUAAUAUAUCGGAACAUACCCUAGAGUGGGGGAUAACGUAGCGAAAGUUACGCUAAUACCGCAUACGCACUAAGGUGGAAAGUGGGGGAUCGCAAGACCUCAUGCUCAUGGAGUGGCCGAUAUCUGAUUAGCUAGUUGGUAGGGUAAAAGCCUACCAAGGCGACGAUCAGUAGCUGGUUUGAGAGAACGACCAGCCACACUGGAACUGAGACACGGUCCAGACUCCUACGGGAGGCAGCAGUGGGGAAUUUUGGACAAUGGGGGCAACCCUGAUCCAGCAAUGCCGCGUGAGUGAAGAAGGCCUUCGGGUUGUAAAGCUCUUUUGUCAGGGAAGAAACGGUGGUUCCUAAUACGGACUGCUAAUGACGGUACCUGAAGAAUAAGCACCGGCUAACUACGUGCCAGCAGCCGCGGUAAUACGUAGGGUGCAAGCGUUAAUCGGAAUUACUGGGCGUAAAGCGUGCGCAGGCGGUUUUAUAAGUCUGAUGUGAAAUCCCCGGGCUCAACCUGGGAACUGCAUUGGAGACUGUAAGGCUAGAGUGUGUCAGAGGGGGGUAGAAUUCCACGUGUAGCAGUGAAAUGCGUAGAUAUGUGGAGGAAUACCGAUGGCGAAGGCAGCCCCCUGGGAUAACACUGACGCUCAUGCACGAAAGCGUGGGGAGCAAACAGGAUUAGAUACCCUGGUA
rnacentral:rRNA from 2 species